GAAUUAAGAUGUACUCUGUGAAUAUGACUACACAUUAUUGGAAAAGAAGUUGAAGUUCUUUCAUCCAUGCAGAGUGGCAUUUGCCUGCGUGGAGUCUGGAAAAAUAAGGUGAAGGAAAUAAAGUAGCUGACUUAAUAGCACAUGACUCAAGACAGAUGUGACUCCAGAGGACGGCAACUUACAUAUAAGGAGGCAGGGCAGCAUUGUGGUGUCCACUGUUUGAACUCCUCCAGCCAUCUGGCACCUGGGUGACCCUCGCAGCUGGAGGCGG